rnacentral:rRNA from 1 species
UACGUAGGGUCCGAGCGUUGUCCGGAAUUACUGGGCGUAAAGAGCUCGUAGGUGGUUUGUCGCGUUGUUCGUGAAAACUCACAGCUCAACUGUGGGCGUGCGGGCGAUACGGGCAGACUUGAGUACUGCAGGGGAGACUGGAAUUCCUGGUGUAGCGGUGGAAUGCGCAGAUAUCAGGAGGAAUACCGGUGGCGAAAGCGACUCUCUGGACGGCAACUGACGCUGAGGCACGAAAGCGUGGGGAGCAAACAGG